rnacentral:rRNA from 1 species
GACGAACGCUGGCGGCGUGCUUAACACAUGCAAGUCGAGCGGUAAGGCUCCUUCGGGAGUACACGAGCGGCGAACGGGUGAGUAACACGUGAGCAAUCUGCCCUUCUCAUCGGAAUAACCAUUGGAAACGAUGGCUAAUGCCGAAUACGACUUCCUUUCGCAAGUCAGGGAGUGGAAAGCUCCGGCGGAGAAGGAUGAGCCCGGGGCCUAUCAGCUUGUUGGUGAGGUAAUGGCUCACCAAGGCGACGACGGGUAGGCGGCCUGGGAGGGUGGCCGGCCACACUGGGACUGAGACACGGCCCAGACUGCUACGGGAGGCAGCAGUGGGGAAUAUUGGACAAUGGGCGAAAGCCUGAUCCAGCAACGCCGCGUGAGGGAUGACGGCCUUCGGGUUGUAAACCUCUUUCGGCAGGGACGAAGCGAAAGUGACGGUACCUGCAGAAGAAGGACCGGCCAACUACGUGCCAGCCGCCGCGGUAA